rnacentral:ncRNA from 2 species
CGAACAAACGGAGGCGCAACCAAGAAGAGUAAUCUAUCUAUCGCCCGGGUAGGCUUGGGAUAGAUGAAAGGCGAGGUUGCCGAAGGGUACAGGACUUACCCAUCCUGUAUGCCUGGUUAUAUGGGGAAUACCCAUGUAACUGUCGCAUUUGAGAAAAUGCGGAGAGCCGUUUGGAAU